UACGAAGGGGGCUAGCGUUGCUCGGAAUGACUGGGCGUAAAGGGCGCGUAGGCGGGUCUUUUAAGUCAGAGGUGAAAUCCUGGAGCUCAACUCCAGAACUGCCUUUGAUACUGAGGAUCUUGAGUUCGGGAGAGGUGAGUGGAACUGCGAGUGUAGAGGUGAAAUUCGUAGAUAUUCGCAAGAACACCAGUGGCGAAGGCGGCUCACUGGCCCGAUACUGACGCUGAGGCACGAAAGCGUGGGGAGCAAACAGG
rnacentral:rRNA from 1 species